rnacentral:misc_RNA from 1 species
UUAAGUUCAGCGGGUAUUCCUACCUGAUCCGAGGUCAACCUUAAAAUUGGGGUGUUUUACGGCAGAAGCCCACUACACAACCAGAACGAGAUGUAUUACUGCGCUCGGAGUAUAGGCGAGCCCGCCACUGAAUUUCGGGGCAUGCGGCAGCCGCAUAGCCCCAUCGCAAGCCAUAGGGCUUGAUGGUUGAAAUGACGCUC